rnacentral:misc_RNA from 1 species
AAAUAAAUCUUUAGAAAGUGUUUAGUAUUAUACAGUUUCAUAUUAAAUUAAACGUUGUUAAUAGUAAACAUAAUUUUAGAUUUUGAGUUGAAAGUUUUUUAUAUUGCUAAAUAUGUAUUUUAAAUCUAAUAGAACGGCAAUUGCAAUUUUUAAAAUUGAAAUUGCAUUGUAAAUAUACCCUAACAUCGAAAUUGACAAAUGUUUUAUUUUUAUUGUUCAUCAUAGUUAAAGUAGACUAUAGUACAUAGUACUUGGAAAAAUGGAAUACAUUGGGACCAGGAUGAGUUGAACAUCCGACCUCAGGUUUAUCAG